AGAGUUUGAUCCUGGCUCAGAGCGAACGCUGGCGGCAGGCCUAACACAUGCAAGUCGAACGGACCCUUCGGGGUUAGUGGCGGACGGGUGAGUAACACGUGGGAACGUGCCUUUAGGUUCGGAAUAGCUCCUGGAAACGGGUGGUAAUGCCGAAUGUGCCCUUCGGGGGAAAGAUUUAUCGCCUUUAGAGCGGCCCGCGUCUGAUUAGCUUGUUGGUGGGGUAAUGGCCCACCAAGGCUACGAUCAGUAGCUGGUCUGAGAGGAUGACCAGCCACAUUGGGACUGAGACACGGCCCAAACUCCUACGGGAGGCAGCAGUGGGGAAUCUUGCGCAAUGGGCGAAAGCCUGACGCAGCCAUGCCGCGUGUAUGAUGAAGGUCUUAGGAUUGUAAAAUACUUUCACCGGUGAAGAUAAUGACUGUAGCCGGAGAAGAAGCCCCGGCUAACUUCGUGCCAGCAGCCGCGGUAAUACGAAGGGGGCUAGCGUUGCUCGGAAUUACUGGGCGCAAAGGGAGCGUAGGCGGACAUUUAAGUCAGAGGUGAAAUCCCGGAGCUCAACUCCGGAACUGCCUUUGAUACUGGAUGUCUUGAGUGUGAGAGAGGUAUGUGGAACUCCGAGUGUAGAGGUGAAAUUCGUAGAUAUUCGGAAGAACACCAGUGGCGAAGGCGACAUACUGGCUCAUUACUGACGCUGAGGCUCGAAAGCGUGGGGAGCAAACAGGAUUAGAUACCCUGGUAGUCG
rnacentral:rRNA from 1 species